ACGCUUUUCCCACUCUGUUUUCCUCUCACAACAAACAACGGCUCGAAAAAUUGGAUUUAAUCUCAUAAAUGUUGUAAUUCGUACCGGUAAGAAAUGCUGAUUUAACUCCUUUCAUGUAAACAUUUUAUAUCUUGUACACUUUGUGUCACAUGGAGCCGUUUUAUUAAGAUAACCGUUGUGUUUUAAAAGUGAACCAUCGUGUCAACAAGACAUGGAUGAAGAUGACGGACAGAAGGAACAUCCAGAAACUUCCAGAAAGAAAGGAGGCUGCUGAUUGGACGACAUGAGAAAGGGGGCGCUCAAUAACAACAAUAACAGUCAUCAAAGACACAUUGGAAGCAGAGGAUCAUGGGAGUUGUAGUUUUCUGCUUCUCCCUUACAAAAGCUGAAUUAGCCACAGAUGUAUUCUCUCGACAAAACCAAAAAACCCACUGAUUAAAAAAUACAA